rnacentral:misc_RNA from 1 species
CAAAACACGACAGAAGAAUUCCUGGGAUUCAAAAAGCAAAAUUGGCACAAGUACAAAAACAUCCCCCCGAAUACAUUCAUCAUGGUAUUAUGCUAAAAAUAUAAUUUUUUUCAAUCAAUCAGAUUUGUUCAUUAGCUUAUAAGCUUCAGUGCAUUAACUGAAAUACUACUAAUUCAAGUUCAUUAGUUUACAGAUAUUAUUCCGGACUAGGAUUAAAACAAAAUUUUGACCGAUUUUCCAACAAUACACAAUUCGCCAAUCAACUGACACAGAAUAAAGCACAAAGUUGUUUUCACAGCUCAAGCUGAAGAGAAAUAAGCAUAAAAAAAAUGAAAUUCCUAAGAUAUAUCCAGGUGUACAGUAUAAAUAGGAUUACAAAUUUCAUUAGAAGUGAACUUCAAGAGACUCCUCGAGUUGCCAUCCAUUACAAGGCUGAAAAAGCUCUUCUUUUAUGUACAGUAGGCCAUCCAUCCAACAUGGUCUUCAGUAGACAUUAAACCAAGCAUCUCAGUUACUUCCGCGAUCGCACUUAACAAUUAAAGAAAAUUAUGGAACACCCAAUGAUACCUUAGAAUUUGCUCUUUUAAAGCAAAUGCUACAUGAUGACACAGACAUUUUCUCUCACAAAAUCAGAAGUCAAAUUCUCCUGUUGCCUUAUUAAAGAGAAUGUCCUUAUUGUUUAUGUGCAUGAUGCCAUCCUUGAGCGUGCAUUUCCACCGGCUCUUGGUACGAGUAACCUUAUCAAAUUGAGCCAAAACCAAAUGAUGUGUGUUCAUAUCCUCUCCUUGCUCCACAUCAUCCAGAUCAUCAUCAUCGUCAUCAUCUUCAACCCCAUCCUCCUCAUCAUCGCUAUCCUCAAUCUCAUGGACCUCCACCACAUCAUCAUCAUCUCCCUCCUCCUCAUCAAUUUCCUCUCCAGAUUCAUUUUCCUCCUCAUCGCCCUCCUCCUCAUCAUCUCCAACAUCUCUUCCCUCCACAGCGGCUACUCUAAAACCAUUCUGGUUUGGCCCAUUAAUCCGCCUUGCAGUCUCCGUCUCCUCCUCAUCUGCAUCACUUUCCUCAUCCUCAUCCACAUCAACAAUCCCUUCAACCCCUUCACUAUGCCCAUUAUUCAACCUGUAAGGCCUCUCCUCUCCAUCAAUCUCACCACUCCCAGGAUCAUCCUCCUCAUCCUCUUCUUCAUCCUCCUCCUCAUCAGAUUCAGGCCUCUCAUUCUCCUCUGCGUCCAUUUUAUCCAAAUACUUCAACGAUUUGAUCAAUCCAAAAACCCUAGAUCGAUAAUCCUUCACUCUGGUGACCGGACACUCAUACAGAUCGAGAGAAAUGAGCUUCAACUGAGCCAGUGGCGCAAGAUCUUCAAUAUAUUGGAUGCGAUUGUUCGACAAGUCAAGGUCCCGAAGAGAGUCGAGGCCAGCCUCAACGAGGAACUCGAGCCCGCCAGCGAUGCGAUUGUCAGAGAGUAUGAGCUUCUGAAGGUUCCUAAGGCGAGGGAACUGCUCAAGCGUCGAGACUCCUAUAUUAGCGAUGGAGAGGUGCUGAAGGUUCUCGAACUUCUCUAAAAGACUCGGUGGAGGAAGACGACCCUGCACGCACUUCACCGCGCCGUCUAGGGUUAGGCUUCGAGCCGCCGCGUUGUCCGUUUGGCCGUCUAAAGCUGUCUCCACUGCCCUCUCCCAGAUCUCAUCCAUCAAAUACGAAACCCUCUCUAUUAUACGCCAAUUAAAUUUCUCUGCACCUAUAAAAUGAAAAAUCUUUAUCCAAUAUAUCCCUCUCUAUAGAAAGAUUCAAAGCAUAAACACGUAAAUAAGAAAUUAAUCUGCACUCUAUGACACUAAACAGAUGAAACUUUUCAUAGCCAAACUGACGAAGAAAUUCGCGAAAGAAGCAAUAACCCUACCCAAAACAACAAUAAACAGCAAUCUGUUUGAACCGUUUAAAACCCUAAUUCCUUUUCAGAUGUAUGCUCUCUCUCUCACUAUCUCUCUCUCUCUCUCUCACUGUCUCUCUCUCUCUCGCGUGAUAAGUAGCAAAUUUGCUUCGAAGGAAAAAUACGGCUGGUUUCUACUUUCUCUCUCUUGUUUAUAUUCUGCGUUCCUAUUGGCUAUUAGCGGGCUACUCGAGGAUAAACGUUUGGCUCGUGGUUCGGGAGACUGGCUUGGGCUGGGCUAGGG